AGAAUCAACGCUGGCGGCGUGCCUAACACAUGCAAGUCGCACGAGAAAGGGGAGCAAUCCCUGAGUACAGUGGCGCACGGGUGAGUAACACGUGAAUCAUCUACCUCCGAGUGGGGAAUAACCUAGAGAAAUCUGGGCUAAUACCGCAUAACACUUACGAGUCAAAGCAGCAAUGCGCUUGGAGAGGAGUUCGCGGCCGAUUAGCUAGUUGGCGGGGUAAUGGCCCACCAAGGCGAUGAUCGGUAUCCGGCCUGAGAGGGCGCACGGACACACUGGAACUGAAACACGGUCCAGACUCCUACGGGAGGCAGCAGUGGGGAAUUUUGCGCAAUGGGGGAAACCCUGACGCAGCAACGCCGCGUGGAGGAUGAAAUCCCUUGGGAUGUAAACUCCUUUCGAUAGGGAAGAUAAUGACGGUACCUAUAGAAGAAGCCCCGGCUAACUUCGUGCCAGCAGCCGC
rnacentral:rRNA from 1 species